GAAUUUGAUAUAAUUUAAAUAAAAAAUUUAAUAUUGAGUUUAUUUAAUUUAUAUUUUAUUGGGAGGAUAGUUAAAUCUAUAAAACUUUAAUAAUAAAAUAUCAUUAAUUUAUGAAUUAGAGAAUAAAGAAUGGCUAGUAAUGUUUAAUUAGAAUUAAUUACCUUAGGGAUAACAGCGUUAUAUUUUUAGAGAGAUCUUAUUGAUAAAAAUGUUUGC
rnacentral:rRNA from 1 species